CUCCCAAGUUGCAUAUGAGAUGUCUUACGACGCGUAACUUCGAGUGUAUGGACGAGUAAGUGUCUACAUUGUGUCACACGGCAUUGACCCCCCAAGUCUGCCCUUCCGCAGGUCGACAGAGAUGCGUGCAACGUGCCAGCGUGACUAUUUCAGUUUAUAUUUCUGCUUCACGUGCCUUUUUCCGUGAUAGCGAUAACGAGACCAGGUUCAGGAGAAGGGACUGUUAAUUUUUUCAAUCCAGUAGAUAGACUGUCGGAAGACGAGGCGUGGGGGAACCAGUGAGCAAACGGUGACCAGGCGCGUCUAUCCCUAUCUCCGUCGCGUCAGCCUCCACGAGGGAGACACCAGGCUUCAACAAACUCGAACAUACAUGGAAAACCUAGAUAUUUUCUUGGGGACGUGUAAAUCGACUGCGGACGACCGAGCCCCGUGGCUACGAUAAUGGGGAGGUGACACGCAACAGGUGGCAGACACGAUCAAGCGAGACAGCUCCGAUUUCGGUAACUUCACAAACAGGCACACAAGAUAACCUCGAACGAGGAAAAGUAAGGCGUGCGUGAUAAUGUAUGUUGACUCGUAAAGACAGUAUAGUGACCAGGGGAGAUACUCAAAUACCUCUAUACCGAAGGGGUACGCAGC
rnacentral:lncRNA from 1 species